UCUUAUAUUAUUAAAUAACAAGGUUAGUUAUGUAAAUAGUCAAUUACUUAACGAAUCACACAAUAAAAAUAAAUACAUCAAUAACCAUGAUACAUCCAGAAAAAUUUAUGUAGUGAUACAGGGAGUCUACACACCAAACCUGCCGAGCCCGUUGCCUAGAAAAUUUAAACUCUCUAUUCUAGUUUAUAUUAGGUAUGUCAACGAUUUGCAAGGUCACGCAGCAGAAAUUUAGUCGAUCAACACAAGCAAAUAUUUGCAUACGUACGUUAAAUAAAAACAUCUUAGUACGUAAAACCAUCGCGGCUUCCUCUGACACAGGUGCUUAUGUACUUAAUAGAGGAAGUCCACAGUCCACACCUAAUUUGUAGUCCUAAAAUUGCAGCUAAUAAAUGUUUUAUCUAUACUUAUAAUAUUAUAAAGCUGAAGAGUUUGUUUGUUUACUUGAACGCGCUAAUCUCAGGAACUACUGGUCCGAUUUGAAAAAUCCUUUCAGUGUUAGAUAGCCCAUUUAUCGAGGAAGGCUAUAGGCUAUAUACCAUCACGCUACGAGUAAUAGGUGCAGAGCAAAAAUGAAAAAUGUUGCGAAACGGGUUUUCACGCGUACGAAGUCGUGGGCACAGCUCGUUUAUUAUAUUUAUUUAUCGCGAUGACGUCGUGCGUAUACUGACUGAUUACAUCAGUGUGAUUAAAUUCGCCUCAACUUUCGUUGAGCGACAUAAAAAUUCGUGUCGGCGACUUGUGGCAACACGGUAGGCGACCAUGUCUGCGACUUGCCGACUCUCGUGGCGAAAAUCGGAACUAAUUUGACACUGACAUUUCAUAUGUCACUGUCAGUGUCAUUUUGGAAUUUGGAUUCGUUCGAUUCGGCUUGUUUGUUGUGGAGAAUUGUUUUUGUUUUGCAAUGGAAUCCACGGAAUCACAAAAUGCACAAAUGGAAUGGGACGAAGAAGUCACUCUAAAAUUAAUACAUUUAUACCAAGAAAAAGAACUGCUAUGGAACCCCAACCACAGUGAUCACAAAAGUCGGCCAAAACGGUACGAGGCAUGGAACGAAAUUGCAAUAAUUUUAAAAACAAAUGUAACAGAAGUGGAGCGAAAAAUAAAAAAUCUAACCAGCCAAUAUUACAGAGAAAGAAAAAAAACUGUUAAAUCAAGGAAGACAGGGGCCAGUACAGAUUGUGUUUAUAAAAGCAAGUGGUUUGCAUACAAAUAUUUCAAUUUUUUGCUCACUAAAAAUAAAUCAGCUGGAACGAAUGAUUCGGAAACAACAUCUAACGACAAUGGCUACAUCACAGAAAAUAGUUCAUCUCAAACGUCACACAUUCCUCGAGCAAAUAAACGUUGUAAACCAAAUAAUGAGAUUUCGGAAGCAAUAAAUUUAAUAAAAACAGUUGGUCAACAAAGAAAUGAAUCAAAACUAAGAGAUGAGGAUGAACUGUUCGGUGAAUACAUAGCAACCCAACUUAGAAAGUUCGAGAAAACGACCAAAGCAAUCGUAAAACAUCGGAUAAACAACAUGAUUUUUGAAGCCGAAACUGGUUACCGAGCUGACUUGUUUCUACCUUCACCGAGUACUUCAACGCCCCAUAGCCAUCCAAGCUGUUAUACUUCCCCUAUCGAUCAACAUGUGAAUUCUUACUAUUCAUCGUCCAACUCUGCCUUAACAAACCCGGUUUCGCCUCAAACUGAGGUGCCGGUUGAAGAAAACGGUGAUAUUAAAAACAUAAUACUGUCUAUAGAUCCUGAUAAUUAAAAACGCUUAAGUUACGUGAAGUGUAAAAAACAGAAGUAAGUGAUUUACCAACUACUAAUAUGAAUUAUAAUUUAAAAUGAAACAA